rnacentral:lncRNA from 1 species
UGCUAAUAGUUCAAUUGGUAAAGAUCUCUGGCAAAAGCUUAGAGGUCGCCGGUUCGAGUAGUACUUGGGACGAAACCAUAUAACAUGCUUUGGUUUCGGGCCUGAGGGGAUGUAUGGGCUUCGGCCCAGAACCUCUUUGAUUAUUCAAAAAAAAAUAUCGAUUCAAACAUAUCCCCUCAUACAAUCCGCAUAUAAAUGUUAAUUUUAAAAUAAAC